ACUGAACCCGUGUCGUCUGCAUUACCAGGCAGAUCCUUAACCCCUGGACCACCAGGGAAGUCCUAACGUCAGAAUUUUAAACAGAUCAUGUCAUUGGAUACUCCAGAAAAUGAAUAUGUCCUGAAGUGGAUGGAGUGUGUCAUUAAAUCCCCAAGUAGGUGAGUUAGAGAAGAAAACAGAUAUAACAAAGGAGAAUCAAAGCAGGUGACAUUUGCAGAAGUUAAGGAGGCAGAAGGAUUUCUCAUAUAACUUAAGGAGAGGAAAAUGAUAAUGAUAAAUAUUGGAUGGAAUGUCAAGAUUCUCUUGACCUUCUUCCC